CACGUAGGGGGCGAGCGUUGUUCGGAAUUAUUGGGCGUAAAGGGCGCGCAGGCGGCCCGAUAAGUCUGGUGUUUAAGGCCACAGCUUAACUGUGGUAAUGCGCUGGAAACUGUCGGGCUUGAGUGCAGGAGGGGGAGCUGGAAUUCCAGGUGUAGGGGUGAAAUCUGUAGAGAUCUGGAAGAACACCGGUGGCGAAGGCGAGCUCCUGGCCAUGGACUGACGCUGAGGCGCGAAAGCGUGGGGAGCAAACAGG
rnacentral:rRNA from 1 species